UUUAGGAAAGGAACCAGCAAGAAACAGUGUUCAAUGUGGGAUCCUGUUUACGCUAGUUUUGAAAAAACAAAAGGCUAUUCCAGUGAUUUUCUUUAAAAAAAAAAUUUUUUUUUUAGUUUAUAGAAGUUUUUGAUCCCUCCCCUUAAGCUGACCAGAAAUCUCAUAUUUUCCCAGCAGGCAUCCCCAAUUCUUCAGGGUAUAUUUCACACCUUCUCUUCUCUAUCCCUACAUGACCACUUUCUCCUUGCUGUCAGCAGGUGGGCUUGCCUCCUACUUGAGCAGGUGAGGAUCUGCUCAACCUGCCCCACCCAAAAAACAUAUCUGCAUUUGCACCCAUCUGUGCUUCCCUUGCCACACAGGCAAGGUGCCCUCCUCCCCUCAUCUAACCCCUCGCUGGUGCUCCACAUCCACCCUGUCCCCACUCCUCAAGCACACGGUGCAUCAGUGAGAAGGCAUCUCCUAACUGCUAAUCUUUCAUAUCAUCAGUGCCCCAGUUACAGAAAACCCUCCAUGUCUGCAUCACCACUGACUCCCACACCACCUCUGUGCUGCUGUUCACGCCAGGCUGAGACCAUGGUGGGCACUAUCCUUCACUCCUCACCCGCUGCCAUCUGCCUUCGUCUCUGCCCCUCUGCCGACACUGCUUUCUCCACCGUUACUAACACUUUCUUUCUUUCCUUUUUUUUUUUCUAAACUCAGAGAUUUUGAAGUGCUAAUCUUUUAUGAUCUAUUUGUCCUGCUUAAAAAUUGUGACUAUGUUUUUAUUUCUUGUUUUGUGGGUUUUUUUUGUGCCACUUCUUAGUUUUGCCUCUUUCUGAGGUGAUGGUAUCCUCGUUUCUGUUCCUUUAUUCUUUAGUCUCAACACACCUACCAGGAUGAGCUUAUCCAUAUCCAUGGUGCUGACUGCCCUAUCCUGCUCUCCCCAAAGGUGCCUUUGGAGAAAAGAACAAACUCCUUAUCAUAGUACAAAAGGUUACUUAAUCCUCAUAUGCUCCGUUUCCUCAUCUGUAAUAUGGGAAUAAGUGGACCUACUUAGUAAGAUGCUGUGAUAAAUGGAUGAGAACACUGGUCAAGCUCCUUACUGCAGUUUCCGGAACGCAGUUUGGACACUGUUACAUUGACACUGCUGAGCAGCAACAAUGGAGGAGAGAGUUAGGAAGCUACUACAGGAAUCCAAGAACGAGAAAUGGUUGCUUAGACCUGGAUGACAGUGAAAGAGGCAAGAAGUGAUGGAUUCUGGAUGUAUCUGAAGAUAUUUAUAAAGAUGUGGAGAGAUGAAAAUGCUCCCUCGAUUCAAUUCCCUUUUCCAUGAAGACACAUGCUGGAACACCAAGUAUAAACCCUUGACACCAUGUAAAGAAUGGACCAGGAAGGCAAAAGUCAGGAGGAAGAAAGAUCUCCGGAAGCUCUGUCAUAAAUCAGAUGAGGGAUGAUAAGGGCUCAUCGCUGGCCCUGCCAUAGCAGAGGUAAAGGAAAGGACAAACAAGAGAUUCUGACAGGACUCGGUGAAUAAUUAAAUGUCAGGAAAAGAUGAGUCAAGCAUGACUGGAGCCCCUAAAUCUACCUGACCGUGGAUACCCAGAGGGUGGAUAUGGCAUGUUUUUCUACCGUUUUAUUAGGGCCAAUGUCAAUAAAAUUAACAUAUACCUGUGUGUCGUACUAUUUUCCACCAGUGAAAAGUAUGCAAUAUUGUUCUUAAAAAUCUUUAAAAUAAAAAUGGAAUGUGCUGUCAACCAUGGUAUGAGACUGGUUAUGUUUCUAGCUCAGGUUUCAGCAUUUUCCUUUUCUCCUUAUUUACAUUUAUAAAAAAGAAAGGGAGCUUUAAUUCUGUUUCCAGAGAUGGAUAUGAUUUGCACUCUCUAAGUGUCUUCGCAUCCUCCUCCCACAUGGCCGGGGAUAAUGCAAAACUAUGAUCAAAAGUAAAUGCUUAAAAACUACUUGCUGAAUGAACACAUUUAAAAAUUAAAGUCAAAUAGACAUCGCCUGUUCCCCAAAGCUGUGGACAGUGAUUGCUGUUAGUAUCUGACUGUUAAACACAGGUGUGUAGGGAAUUUCUGCUGUUCAUUAAAUGACAAUUUUAAAAUGUCAUCAGGAAAACUGUAUAUCCCAAAAAAUUUACUCUUAUCACCCAGUGUGUUGCUAUGAAAAACUGCUUGCUGCUCCACCAAAGCCAAGUCCUCAUUAGUGCUGUUGCUAAAAAUUGCUAUAGAUAGAACAGGAAAAUGUUUGGGAGACACUGCCAUGCUCUUAGGUCUCCGUAGAAAGUGGCAUGACUGUAUGGUCAAUAUAAUACAAUUAGAAUGUUACCCUUUACAAUAGUGGUCCACCUCUGUGUUUUGAAGGAAAACCACUGAUUUUUAUCUAUCCUAAUUAAAAAUAUUGUCAGUGACCUCCUAACACAUGCAAAAUAGAGGUCAAGCUUUUAGAUUUGAUAUUCAGCUCCCAGAUGAUCCGGACCAAUUGACUUCUAGUCACAAUUCCCUCUAGGCUGGUCGUGAUGCCUGCAGAGUGAGGGUCGGUACCACGGAUUGUGCAAGGGCGGAGCAGGAGGAGGAGGAGCCCUGGGAGGCGAGGGUUCAGGGAGGCUUCAUGGGCUAGAAGGAAGGCAGGGUGGAGGGCAAGACAGGUCAGGGGCUAUAUCCUUUCCUUCCUAGAUCAAAGCCUUAGUGGCAAGCCCUCAGCCUUGCACGUGUGAGCCUGUGUGUGUACACACAGAGGUCAGCGGGAGGGGUCCCUGGGGGUAGACCUAACUGCUGUGAGCUCAGAACCAGGGGCUCUGGGAAGCCCUAGGCAGAGCUGUGGCCCCGAUUCUGACUCAGUGACUUGGCAGUUAAGUGUCUGAUUGAGUCCAGUACAUCUGAAGUCAGGUUUGAGCCACAUGUUAGCUAAGUGACCUGGAGAAGUCAUUUCAUGUUUCUGAGUGGGAAAAGCUGAAUGAUAUAUGUGCAUACACUGCACUUAGCACAGUACCUAAGCAUAGGAGAAGAGAAAUAAAUAAUAUUUGUUAUUACUUCAUGUCAGAUCCAGAACACCAGAGAUCUGGGAACCAGGCUUCUAACCUCAUUUAUCCUUAAUUAACCAACCAGCAACUAUCAAAAACCCCUUUGGUUCCUAAAACACUGGGAUGGAAACUCAAAGGAAGAAUUCAAGUGAAAAUAUUAUGAACUUGAUAACAGGUUUUUAUAGGUUUUCCCCCGAAAAAAAGAUGGCAGUGGUAAAUGGCAAAGGAACUCUUGUUCUACCACUUAACAAAUGUUUUAAUUGAUUUGAGAGAGAGAAGGGAGAGGGGGAGAGAGAAACAUCCAUGUGAGAGCAAAGCAUCGACCUGAGUUUUCAUGUGUCUUUUUGUCCUGAACUACUAGACUGAUGACACACUUGAGGGUAAAAAGAAUUCAUUCAUCUCAUUGGCACUGAGUACAUCAUUAUGGAAACAGUGGGAAUGCUAUAAAUAUUUUCUGAAUAGUCUUAUAAGACCUUAUAUCUCAUUAAAAUAAUUGCAUCUUAAAGGAAAUCCUAUUGUAAUGUUAACAAAUGUAAAUUAACUUUUAGUUCUAAAUAUUUUUUUAUUUGAAUUAUAAGUGCAAAAAGAGAACAAUUAUUUGCCCUAACUUGAAUUGUUGUAAGAUUACACAUUGCACAUCACUGGGCUUUUCCCUUGUCCCUUAGUUAUAGCUGUGUGUGUGGCCAUGAGCCUCCCUGAGAGCAUUUCCCAGCCAUCCUUGUUGCUAGAGGUAGCCGAUGAGAUGUAAGUGAAAGCUGGAUAGAGCAUUUAGAAAAGUUAUUUAAAGUCUUCUCCUGAGGUUGGAGAUACAGCAGCCAUGUUGUAACCCACACAAUGGAAUGUGGCUGGGCUGUGGACAGGAGGGAGACCUUGCCUUUGAUGGCAGCAUGGAUGGACCUGGAGAGGAUUGUGCUGGAUGGGGUGGACCAGUCGGGGGGAGAGGUGCCAUGUGAUUUUGCUUAUGUGUAAAGUCUAAUGAAUGGAAUAAACUAACAAACAAAAUAGAAACAGACUC